rnacentral:rRNA from 1 species
CCUACGGGCGGCAGCAGUGAGGAAUAUUGGUCAAUGGGCGCGAGCCUGAACCAGCCAAGCCGCGUGAAGGAAGACUGCUCUAUGGGUUGUAAACUGCUUUUAUACAGGAAUAAACUCAGGUACGUGUAUCUUUCUGUAUGUACCUUAUGAAUAAGGAUCGGCUAACUCCGUGCCAGCAGCCGCGGUAAUACGGAGGAUUCGAGCGUUAUCCGGAUUUAUUGGGUUUAAAGGGAGCGUAGGUGGGCUGUUAAGUUAGUUGUGAAAGUUUGCGGCUCAACUGUAGAAUUGCAAUUGAUACUGGUAGCCUUGAGUGUAGUUGAGGUAGGCGGAAUUCGUGGUGUAGCGGUGAAAUGCUUAGAUAUCACGAAGAACACCGAUUGCGAAGGCAGCCUACUAAGCUGCCACUGACGUUGAUGCUCGAAAGUGUGGGUAGCAAACAGGAUUAGAUACCCUAGUAGUC